CCCUGGGUGAUGGACUUAAAGCAUGUUAUCUUUGCAGUCAGCCAUUACAUCUCUUAAAUUGUGUGGGUGAAAAAAAAUUGGUUUAGCCCAAAUUUUACAUGUUAAAUGCCAAUAUCUUGAGUGUGGUUUUAUAAAUGAUAUACCAACUGGCACUAAACAUGCUAAAGUAAAUGGUGGCCAAGCCUGGGAUGUCAAAACAAAGUUAGCUACAGGUGAAACCUACCAAUCAAAGAUUGCUUUUCAAGAUCAUGCUGAUCUCCAGGACUUUGAUUUGAAGCAAGACAAAGUUUGAACUUUCUCCAGAUCAUAGUCCACAAUGAUAUUUUUUCACUUUUGGCUAGCCAGAACAUCAGAUAUUCUACAGAUUGCUGCAGUAUCAGGGAAUUAAGAGAUGAAUGUCUAUAUGCGACCAACAACUCAGAUUUGUCUUGAAGCUUCUGCGGCCACUCGGCUGACAUACAUUGGUGGAGUACUAAAACAUGAAGGACAAACAGUUACAUCAGUUUCUCCAGAGGAUGGUCUUAGAUAUUUCCUUGAGUUUUUAAAGAAAUUUUUCAAGCCCAUUU